rnacentral:rRNA from 1 species
GAGUAACACGUGGGUAAUCUGCCCUGAAGUGGGGAAUAACACCGGGAAACCGGUGCUAAUACCGCAUACGAUAACGAGGUCUGCGGACUUUGUUAUGAAAGGAGCAAUUCGCUUUAGGAGGAGCCCGCGGCUGAUUAGCUAGUUGGUGAGGUAAUGGCUCACCAAGGCUACGAUCAGUAUCCGGUCUGAGAGGACGGUCGGACACACUGGAACUGAGACACGGUCCAGACUCCUACGGGAGGCAGCAGUGGGGAAUUUUUGGCAAUGGGGGCAACCCUGACCAAGCAACGCCGCGUGGGUGAUGAAGUCUCUUGGGACGUAAAACCCUUUCGACGGGGAAGAAACCGCAAGGUUGACGGUACCCGUAGAAGAAGCCCCGGCUAACUCCGUGCCAGCAGCCGCGGUAAUACGGGGGGGGCAAGCGUUGUUCGGAAUUACUGGGCGUAAAGGGUGCGUAGGCGGUGCUCUAAGUCGGAUGUGAAAACUCUGGGCUCAACCCAGAGCCUGCAUCCGAAACUGGAGUGCUAGAGUUCUGGAGGGGGUAGCGGAAUUCCUGGUGUAGCGGUGAGAUGC